rnacentral:misc_RNA from 1 species
UCUCCGUAGGUGAACCUGCGGAAGGAUCAUUAAAGUUAUAGUCCCCUGGCCCUCUGGGCUGGGGUCUUCUAUACCACCCUUUGUUUAUUACACCUUUGUUGCUUUGGCAGGCCUGCCCUCGUGCUUCUGGCUCCGGCCGGCUCGCGUCUGCCAGAGGACCUAAACUCUGUUUGUAUAUGAAGUCUGAGUACUAUAUAAUAGUUAAAACUUUCAACAACGGAUCUCUUGGUUCUG